rnacentral:lncRNA from 1 species
GACCCGAGUGUGGCUUGACCAAUCCUAGUGCAUCCAUGGGUAGGUUCCUAACUAAUUAUUUCUCCAAAUAACUUCUAGAAAUUAGAUUUUUGCCCCAGAUAUCUCUUCAACAGGCGUAUGGUGCCUUCCCUGAAAAUCCUAAUCAAGACCAACCAUUAACAUGACUACACCAAGCAUAUCUAACAAAUGAAUAUCCAGACCCAAGUGUGGCUCACCCAAGCCAAGCAGUGAUCCGAAGGGCACAACAAGAU